AUCGCUUCUCGGCCUUUUGGCUAAGAUCAAGUGUAGUAUCUGUUCUUAUCAGUUUAAUGUAAUGUCUGAUACGUCUCCUAUCCGGGGACUAUAUGUUAAAUGGAUUUUUGACCUUCGGAAAUGGAAGCGGAGCUUGCUCCUUCCACUCCAUGCAUCAACAUGGUAUUGCAGUGUUUCCAUGAAUGGUGCGCUCCCC